UCAGAGUUAUCAUGGCUCAGGAUGAACGCUAGCGACAGGCCUAACACAUGCAAGUCGAGGGGCAGCGGGGAGGUAGCAAUACCUUUGCCGGCGACCGGCGCACGGGUGAGUAACACGUAUGCAAUCCACCUGUAACAGGGGGAUAACCCGGAGAAAUCCGGACUAAUACCCCAUAAUAUGGGCGCUCCGCAUGGAGAGUUCAUUAAAGAGAGCAAUUUUGGUUACAGACGAGCAUGCGCUCCAUUAG
rnacentral:rRNA from 1 species